AGAUGUGAGGGCAAUCUGGCUGGCUAGGCAGGUGUCCCCUUCCUCCCUCACCGCUCCAUGUGCGUCCCUCCCAAAGCUGUGCGCUCAAAGAGGACGACCUUCCCCGAUAGAGGAGGACUGUUCUUCGGUCAAGGGUAUAAAAGUAGCUGCACUCCCCUGCUAGAACCUCCAACAUGCUCUCAAAAUAGAGGGCUUAUUUUCAGGAAAGGUGAGCAAAAUGACUCU
rnacentral:sRNA from 1 species